UACGAAGGUGGCAAGCGUUGUUCGGAUUCACUGGGCGUACAGGGUGUGUAGGCGGUUUGGUAAGCCUUCUGUUAAAGCUUCGGGCCCAACCCGGAAAGCGCAGAGGGUACUGCCAGGCUAGAGGGCGGGAGAGGAGAGUGGAAUUCCUGGUGUAGCGGUGAAAUGCGCAGAUAUCAGGAAGAACACCAAUGGCGAAGGCAGCUCUCUGGGACGGUACUGACGCUGAGACGCGAAAGCGUGGGGAGCGAACAGG
rnacentral:rRNA from 1 species